rnacentral:rRNA from 1 species
GACGAACGCUGGCGGCGUGCUUAACACAUGCAAGUCGAACGGAAAGGCCCUGCUUGCCGGGUACUCGAGUGGCGAACGGGUGAGUAACACGUGGGUGAUCUGCCCUGCACUUCGGGAUAAGCCUGGGAAACUGGGUCUAAUACCGGAUAGGAGCCAUUUUUAGUGUGAUGGUUGGAAAGUUUUUUCGGUGUAGGAUGAGCUCGCGGCCUAUCAGCUUGUUGGUGGGGUAAUGGCCUACCAAGGCGGCGACGGGUAGCCGGCCUGAGAGGGUGGACGGCCACAUUGGGACUGAGAGACGGCCCAGACUCCUACGGGAGGCAGCAGUGGGGAAUAUUGCACAAGGGGCGCAAGCCGGAUGCAGCGACGCCGCGGGGGGGAUGACGGCCUUCGGGUUGUAAACGCCUUUCGCUAGGGACGAAGCUUUUUGUGACGGUACCUAGAUAAGAAGCACCGGCUAACUACGUG